rnacentral:rRNA from 1 species
AGAAACCAACAGGGAUUGCCUUAGUAACGGCGAGUGAAGCGGCAACAGCUCAAAUUUGAAAUCUGGCCUCUCUCGGGGUCCGAGUUGUAAUUUGGAGAGGAUGUUUCGGGUACGGCCCGGGCUUAAAUUUCUUGGAACAGAAUGUCACGGAGGGUGAGAAUCCCGUCUGGAGCCCGGGCACGGCCUAUGUGAAACUCCUUCGACGAGUCGAGUUGUUUGGGAAUGCAGCUCUAAAUGGGUGGUAAAUUUCAUCUAAAGCUAAAUAUUGGCCAGAGACCGAUAGCGCACAAGUAGAGUGAUCGAAAGAUGAAAAGCACUUUGAAAAGAGAGUUAAACAGUACGUGAAAUUGUUGAAAGGGAAGCGCUGGCAACCAGACUUGCGCGUCGGGGUUCCCCCUUGCUUCUGCUUGGGCUACUCCCCGGCGUUCAGGCCAACAUCGGUUUCGGGGGUUGGUUAAAGGCCCUGGGAAUGUACCUACCCUCCGGGGUAGACUUAUAGCCCAGGGUGUCAUGCGACCUCCCGGGACCGAGGAACGCGCUUCGGCUCGGAUGUUGGCGUAAUGGUUGUCAGCGACC